CCCAGCCCUGACAUACAGAAUGCACAAUGUCAUAUCCAGGCCCCAUCCUCCCCAGCCCUGACAUACAGAGUGCAUGAUAUCAUAUCCUCCCCAGCCCUGACAUGUGUAUGAUGUCAUAUCCAGGAGCCCCAUCCUCCCCAGCCCUGACAUACAAAGUGCAUGAUGGCAUAUCCAGGGCCCCCAUCCUCCCCAGCCCUGACAUACAGAGUGCAUGAUGUCAUAUCCAGGGGCCCAUCCUCCCCAGCCCUGACAUACAGAGUGCAUGAUGUCAUAUCCAGGGGCCCAUCCUCCCCAGCCCUGACAUACAGAGUGCAUGAUGUCAUAUCCAGGGCCCAUCCUGCCCAGCCCUGACAUACAGAGUGUAUGACGUCAUAUCUAGGGCCCAUCCUCCCCAGCCCUGACAUACAGAGUGCAUGAUGUCAUAUCCAGGGCCCCAUCCUCCCCAGCCGACAUACAGAGUGCAUGAUGUCAUAUCCUCCCCAGCCCUGACAUACAGAGUGCAUGAUGUCAUAUCCAGGGCCCAUCCUCCCCAGCCCUGACAUACAGAGUGCAUGAUGUCAUAUCCAGGGCCCCACCCUCCCCAGCCCUGACAUACAGAGUGCAUGAUGUCAUAUCCAGGGGCCCAUCCUCCCCAGCCCUGACAUACAGAGUGCAUGAUGUCAUAUCCUCCCCAGCCAUGACAUACAGAGUGCAUGAUGUCAUAUCCAGGGCCCAUCCUGCCCAGCCCUGACAUACAGAGUGCAUGAUGUCAUAUCCAGGGCCCCAUCCUCCCCAGCCCCGACAUACAGAGUGUAUGAUCUCAUAUCCAGGGGCCCAUCCUCCCCAGCCCUGACAUACAGAGUGCCUGAUGUCAUAUCCAGGGGCCCCAUCCUCCCCAACCCUGACAUACAGAGUGCAUGAUGUCAUAUCCAGGGGCCCAUCCUCCCCAGCCCUGACAUACAGAGUGUAUGAUGUCAUAUCUAAGGCCCAUCCUCCCCAGCCCUGACAUACAGAGUGCCUGAUGUCAUAUCCAGGGGCCCCAUCCUCCCCAGCCCUGACAUACAGAGUGUAUGAUGUCAUAUCCAGGGGCCCAUCCUCCCCAGCCCUGACAUACAGAGUGCAUGAUGUCAUAUCCAGGGGACCCAUCUUCCCCAGCCCUGACAUACAGAGUGUAUGAUGUCAUAUCCAGGCCCCAUCCUCCCC